CUUCGCUGACUCUCUUUUUGGACUCAGCCUGCCUGCACCCAGGUGAAAUAAACAGCCUUGUUGCUCCCACAAAGCCUAUUUGGUGGUCUCUUCACACGGAAGUGCGUGACAGAGACAUGGACUGACCUCACAGGGGCAUUGGGACUGCCCAACAGGAUAAUAACGUGGAGAAGUACUUUGUCGGGUAUCUGCCAAAUGACUAUUGUUACGAUGAUUUUUAGAGUGUGGAAGAUGCCCCUCUAAAGGGACAUCAUUCUCGGAGCAUUUGUUGACCAAAAUAAUGGGAUAGAAGAUACAGCUAUUAUUCUAAAAAUGUGCAGUUCUGAUGCAGAGGGAAGUUAUCGUCACGACGUGCUAAACAGCACAACAUAUUAAUGUCAAACGAGGCUAUGGGGAGGGGCUCUGAGGGCCAAAACCAUGUGAGGCCACGUGGUCUCCAUGACUGGGCAAAGUCUUAUGGAGGGUGUGAGACUUAACCGGGGCUCUCCUAGGUUGGAGAGAGAAAGCUGAGCAAACAGAGACGUUCACUGGUUCCCAACUGUUAGCCAGGGCAGAAAAUCUGCGACUAUCUGCAGGGUGCACUAAUUAUACAGAUUUGAUAGAAGGCUGUAUUGGGGACUCACUAGAGAGACUGAGUGCAUAAAUUUGAUCAAGAAGAUUAGAAAAUGACCGAGAAAGUGGAUAAUCGGUUUUUACUACGGUGUUCUCAGAAAUUCUAAUUAGUGGUAGCAAUUGGAUUCUGCAAUGUUUUUCUUUGGUGAAUCCCAACAAAACCAAUUAACUUGUAUUGCAUCCAUACAUUACCAUGCACACAGGCCAUAAGCAAGGGAAGGCGUAUUUAGUCUAACUGCUGCCUUUUGGCUUUUAACAGAAAAUCAAUUCAUUUUGGCACAUUAAACCAUUAGUGCCCGUUGGAUAUGAACUUCGCCUUUUUCUUUACAUUUCUCUCCCACUUCCCCUUCUUCUGUUACAGGGGCGGAAACUGUCGACUUUGAAGGCUGUGAAUGGGGGGCUUCCCAGGAAAUCGGGAUAGACUCACACACACUGGCAUGUCUUUGGGCCUCAAGGAACUUUCUGAUUGAAUUCUGAAAGUCCUUGAGGCUUCUAAAUUCUACAAUCAAGCAUCAGCUUUAUGAAUUCCCUAUUCCGUGAAGAGGUGGUGUCAUUGAGAACCUGUUGGAUGGAUGUCAUCAGCACUGUCUCAAGGGUUUCUCAGAGAGAACGCUGACCGGCACCCUGCCCGUACCACCAGCCGCUCUCUCGGGCCCAGCGUGGUGAUGGGUCGUAGCCGCUGCUGAUGCUCCUUCCUUCUGAUCCCAGAUGCAGCUUCAGUAUCCUCUGCAGGUUGGGGGGACUGUGAUGAUUUGGAGUCAGCACUUGAGAGGAAACGUGCUUGCUCUUCUAAUUGUAGUGGAUAUUCUUCCUGGAUGUUGACUAAUAAAACAAAUGGACGUUC